rnacentral:rRNA from 1 species
AUCAUUAAUGAUUGGCCUAACGGCCUUAUCAACAUAAUCCCUCACCUCUGUGAACCGUUGACCUCCGGGUCUACAUAACAAACAUCAGUGUAAAGAACGUCUUUAUAUUUUAACAAAAUAAAACUUUCAACAACGGAUCUCUUGGCUCUCGCAUCGAUGAAGAACGCAGCGAAAUGCGAUAAGUAAUGUGAAUUGCAGAAUUCAGUGAAUCAUCGAAUCUUUGAACGCACCUUGCGCCUUUUGGUAUUCCGAAAGGCAUGCCUGUUUGAGUGUCAUGAAAUCUCAAUCCCCCCGGGUUUUCUGAACCCGAGGUGGACUUGGACAUGGGUGUCUGCCGUCUUGUACGGCUCGCCUUAAAUGACUCAGUGGGAUCUUCAGCAUCCGUGGCAGACGUAAUAAGUUCCGUCUCGUCCCUUGCUGUGAGGACCGCUCAUAACCUGCCAUCGCGCACCACUUUUGACUCUGACCUCAAAUCAGGUAGGACUACCCGCUGAACUUAAGCAUAUCAAUAAGCGGAGGA